rnacentral:rRNA from 1 species
AGUGAACGCUGGCGGCGUGCUUAACACAUGCAAGUCGAACGAGAACGGAAUAUAGCUUGCUAUAUUUGUCAGCUAAGUGGCGCACGGGUGAGUAAUGUAUAGAUAACCUGCCCUUAAGAAAGGAAUAACAGUUGGAAACGACUGCUAAUGCCCUAUAUGCCUUUAAUACAUAAGUAUGCAAGGGAAACGCUUUAGUGCUUAAGGAUGGGUCUGUAUGGUAUCAGCUUGUUGGUGAGGUAAUGGCUCACCAAGGCUAUGACGCCUAACUGGUUUGAGAGGAUGAUCAGUCACACUGGAACUGAGACACGGUCCAGACUCCUACGGGAGGCAGCAGUGGGGAAUAUUGCACAAUGGACGAAAGUCUGAUGCAGCAACGCCGCGCGGAGGAUGACACAUUUCGGUGCGUAAACUCCUUUUAUAUAGGAAGAUAAUGACGGUACUAUAUGAAUAAGCACCGGCUAACUCCGUGCCAGCAGCAGCCGCCG